UUUUUUGUUGUGGUUGGUUGGUUUGGGGUCUUUUUCUGUGUUUUCUUCAGCAACUUCCAAAUAAUAUCAAGUAGUCCAUGACAUGGAAAGCAAUUACAGGCAGACCUGAAAGAAAUUGGUUGAUCUUUGUAAUUAAGAACCAGAGGACAGCUUGCUACAUUGAUGCUUAGUCCCUGGGACAAAAGUAGGACAGCAGAAUAGAUCAGAAAUUCUCCACACUAGGUGAAUCUUCUCACUUCAGAAACCGAAGACCUUCUCCGGGUGUUUUAUGCAAAAACUUAAACAGAGAUAAAAAUAUAAAACAGUCUCCCAGUCAGACUAGGAGCACCACAGGAUGUUUUGCAUACUUUUGGACCACAGCGGAGGCAGAGUAACCUCAAGAUGUUAUUUAAGGGGCACCCUAGAAGACCAUGUAUGUUACAACCUUACAUUUUCUUCAGGUUGCUUUGUGCUGCUGAGUCACUGCAAAGAGACAGGAAAAUUAUAUCUGAGAAAUCCUCUCCUGUGAAGUGAGACUGAAGACAGAAAAGAACAUAUAAAGAUAGACUAAAGCCAAUCCUCUGCUACAACCUGUGUGUGAGACUGUUCUCCAAGUGCAACUGAGUGUAGCUGGCUUUUGAAUGCCUUGAAAGACCAAAAUUUCAGCUGGGGACAUCCAAGAGAUGUUAUAUAGAGUUCUGAGCAAGAAAACAGUGUACUUAUUGAAUACUAAGCAUGAACCAUCUGAAUUGAAGGUUACCCUCACCUAAGUGAGAGAAAGCAUCAUUAUUUUCCUUAUUUUUUUCUUGGCACAAGUCUGUACAUCUUUUCAGUCAAGAUAUUCCAGCUCUAGAAAUAGCUUCAUGUCUGGGAUUCACUACAGUUUAAUCAGACACAGCAUAAGCUACUCUCCAGUGAGUUAGAUCUGAUUCCUCAGCUGAAUUUCUAAUCUAGAUUCUAACCACACACACUUUGGCAAAGCAGACGACAUAGGACAUAGGAAUUUACUGCUAUUUUGUCUUUAGCAGCUUUCCUUUCAUGUGGUGAGAGAAGACAAUGUUGCCAAGGGCUAACACAACAAAUGCUUCCUUCUAAGAUCACCUAAAAUCAUUCUGAUUUUUUUUUUUAACUGGACAAUGGGUAAAAAUCUGUAACUGUGGAAUAAACAGGGAAAUAAAAAUUAUUUUUAAAAG
rnacentral:lncRNA from 1 species